rnacentral:rRNA from 1 species
GAUGAACGCUGGCGGCGUGCCUAAUACAUGCAAGUCGAGCGAACAGACGAGGAGCUUGCUCCUCUGACGUUAGCGGCGGACGGGUGAGUAACACGUGGAUAACCUACCUAUAAGACUGGGAUAACUUCGGGAAACCGGAGCUAAUACCGGAUAACAUGUUGAACCGCAUGGUUCAACAGUGAAAGACGGUCUUGCUGUCACUUAUAGAUGGAUCCGCGCCGCAUUAGCUAGUUGGUAAGGUAACGGCUUACCAAGGCAACGAUGCGUAGCCGACCUGAGAGGGUGGUCGGCCACACUGGAACUGAGACACGGUCCAGACUCCUACGGGAGGCAGCAGUAGGGAAUCUUCCGCAAUGGGCGAAAGCCUGACGGAGCAACGCCGCGUGAGUGAAGAAGGUCUUCUGAUCGUAAAACUCUGUUAUUAGGGAAGAACAAAUGUGUAAGUAACUAUGCACGUCUUGACGGUACCUAAUCAGAAAGCCACGGCUAACUACGUG